AUUCAAUAUUUGAUUGAUGUAAAGAAAGGAGAUUACAAGGUGGGAAUCGUACCUCACCGGUGAAAGUGUAAGAAGCCAAACAGAGAAUAGGGUUAUACACAUUUCAAGCUGAACGAGUAAUGUUUAAAUGAUGACAUUCUUCUUCUUCUCCAACUUCACGAUAUCAUCCUUGCUAGUUUGAUCUCUCGAAUUAGACUGGUUACAAGUCUACCAUUCAUACUAUGGAGAAAAGAAUAUACGUUCAUUCCGGACAUUGAGAAGGAAAUGUAUUAUGUUUAAGUAUACAAAAAUUUAGCAGGUUGAUAUGCUCGGUUAUCAGUGAAAAAGAAGGUUAAAGGUAGAUGCGAACAUGACAGUGAAAAAAUUAGAAAAAAGAACACUAUAAUAUGCAUGCUACUAUGCUAGGAGAAAUAUAUACUAUUGUGUCACAAUUUAUGCUCUAAAGGACAAAAAAAAGUUGAAAUAUUGUAAAGAAAAAGAAAAUACAAGGCGAGGUAAUAGAAAAAGAAGCUGAACAACCCAUUUAUUGUUCUCUGAAGAAGUACUUUGACCCGCCCUGCCUUAUCCUACCGCUUUAAGAGUUUGCCCUGCCCCGCCCUAAUUGCCAGUUGAAAAGUCUCUAUUUUGAAAAUUUAGAGAGUGAGUUAGCUAAAAAUGGAACAAUCCUUCAUCCAACUGUAAAUGCAUCAGAUAGCUAUCAUUGAUAGGCAGAACUUGAAAAGGGAUUUGAAGUUGAAGUUGUCUUCUUGAUUUUAAUUUGUGGAGUUGAUCACAUGGUAGUUUCUCUGGCAAUGACGCCGCAAAUUCUAGUCUAUUUUCUGGUUGUUCUGAUCCAUGUUCUGUCAAUAGCAGCAUGGACUAAUCCUGUUGAUGCUGAUGCUUUUAAAGUCUCUCACAAAUUGUUGGUAUGGUCGUUCCGAUUGGAAUGGAGCAGAACCCUGUGGGAGUAGUUGGAUGCAGAACUUCACGAGUGAAUUCAACAUGUAUCCCUUCGUCAACUGCUUAAAAUUACAGAAAUCAUGCCAUCUUUCUCAAUUUCAGAAAAUUGUCAUAUCUGGAGACUCUGCAUCUACUUCAUUCCACUUCAGCUCCAGCAUAGGAACAUAAGCUACAGUAACUGUGAUCACAGGCAGAAGAGUCCUCCUGGCCUUACAACUCUGAAUAUGUCAUAUUGAGUGAACUCAAGCAUGCAUAUCCAGGAUCCAAUUGUUCAGGAGUGCACGAUAUCCAGAGUAUUCUUGAAGGAAGGAAGCCUCUGGAAGACGCGAAUUUGCAAUGGUAUCAUCAUAUAAAUCCCCUUUGAUGCAAUGAAGUUGUUGAAUGGACCAUAUAAAUCCAUGGAAGUUGUUACCAUGGUUACAUUCCUUUCCUAUAUCCUAGCAACCGUACCGAGGAAUUCUAUUGCACUCUGUGCAGUUAUGGUUAUUGAUCCCGCAGAGUUUACCCAAAGGUUCAAGCCAGAUCAUACAAAGUGGGCGACACGUUUUUGUAUUUCUACGAGAAGAAGUUGUCGCAUAUAAAAGAUGAGAAUUUCUUUUUUUAGAUUUAAAUAGAGAUAGUCCUAGAUCGAAAUAUUAGGAAUCAAAGCAAGAAAAGUAGCAUUGAUGAAACGGAGGAUCAUACCUUCAGCGAAGAAAUAAGUUGACCAGCUGAAAGUUUUUGAAAUCCCUACUUGUAUGCAAAAAGAAUCCAAAGAGUCUGAUGGCUUUAAAGGAUAGGGGUUCAAUUGUUCCCUGACGCCUGGUUGCCAUAACCUGAUACUUAAUUUAACAUGUUAUAACAGAUUAUCUACUGCUUCAUGUAUC